GCCAGGAGUGCUGUUUGUUCUGCCUGAAGUCUUCACUCUGGUCCUUGGACCUUCCUUUGACCUUCCUUGUCUUUUAGCCACCGCCAUUUUGGACUCCUUUUCCCUAUUCUACCUACCUAACAAAACCAAGUAAGCAAAAGCUGCCUUUUCCCCAUAAACACCAUCUCCAGCCCCCUACUAGUCAACCUUCCCCAACAUUUCUCAGACAAUGACUGCUUGAGAAAAGGAACUGUAGAGUGGCCGAUGCCUGUCCAUAUGCACCAUGUUGUGUGCCAGGAGUGUGGACAUCUCUCAGGAUGAUGGGUCAGCAGAUCCCAAAUGUGGCCUGAGGGACUGGGACUCUCCGUGUCUAGGAGGCCAUGCCCCUGUGCUGCACAUGGUCUCAUUUCCUCUAAACCCUGGAGACCUGAAGAGAAGUUGCUUUGCAGGAGUAUUCUUUGCAAGCUCUGCCUGGAGGCAAAGAAUGGAUUAAUGAGAUGACCACUUAGAGCCUCUGUCAGCCUGUUUCCUGAGACUUCAGAAAUCCUCCAGGCGGAAGGAUGACUGAAACAACGAGGUGCAGUAGUUACAGAUGAGAGUGUUGACAGACUGGAGAAAAGUAGAGAAUUUCUGGUUUGCCAGGCAGCCAGGAGAGUGCUGCCCGAACCUUUCGGUAACUGAGUUUAAGGGCGUGAGUGUGUGUGGGGGGCUUUCUCUCUGCACCAGACAGAGCUUCCGGGGGAGAGGGAGGUCCACAUACUGGUCGUUGUGGUUUACUUGCGCAGUCGCUUAGUUGCGUCCAACUCUUUUGUGACCCCGUGGACUGUAGCCCUCCAGGCUUAUUUGUCCAUGGGAUUUUCCAGGCAAGAUACUGGAAGGGAUUGCCAUUUCCUUCUCCAGGGGAUCUUCCUGACCCAGGAAUCCUGAACUCUGUGUGUCUUGCAUUGCAGGCUAAGCCACCUGGGAAGUCCCACAUAUUGGUCACAGUAUUAGAAUAAUAGUAGUAACAAAACCUUGCAUUUUCCAAAGUACUUUUGUAUUGUUGGAUAUUUACAGUACUCUGAAAGAUAGGGAGGGUGUGAUCCUGGAUCAGAGAGCAGAUGACAGGUCAGUGUCCUGCCGGGAGCCAUACAACUAGUUCCUGACAGAUGGAGGGCCUGUAAUCCAUGCCUCCUCAGUUUCAGGGCAAUGAUACUUCCUUCUGAGUGAGCUCCAGGUGGUGGAGGAGAAGGGAGAAAUAGGGAAGAUGUCACACAGGGCCACCACCCUGGACCUGCUCUGCUUCAGCUGUGUGGGGGAGGGGCUCUGCCUUAGGAGUGUAGACGGUGUCUGGUGGACAGGUGCCACAUGCUGCAGGACCCUGGCUUCAAAGGUUGAGUCUAAGCCAUUGUAGGGAGAAGGUGUGUGAAGCUCCUGGGAGUAGGGAUAAUUCAAGAGGCCGAGGGCAGCCUCUCUGGGGCAGAGGCGUUGCGAGCAGCACAGAGUGGCCUCAGAAAUGUAGCUUAGAGGAAUCUCUUGGCAGAAAUCACCACUUGAGCAUCCAGGAUCCCUUCUUGGCCCCUGGCUUCAGCCAGAUAGAACUUGAAGGCUUCUAACACAGAGUAGAUUUCAAAGGAAAAGCUUUGAAGGGAAAAGAGUCUGUGAGAGGAAAGGUUUGGAAAUGACAGAAUAGGGUUUGGAAAUGACAGAAUAGGCUGACUUCGCUGAGGAAUCUGGAAAGGACCCCUACGGACGUCUGCGGUCUGCUUCCCGGAAGCCUUCUGGGGGUCACCAGUCAACCCGUGCCAGAGCCCAGAAUGAGUGUCCUGAUGAAAUUCAAGCCCACAUUUCACUGGGCCACACUGGGGAUACAGCAGUGACAUGAUGGCAUUGUUGAAAUGGACAGGAUUGGUGUUUAGGAGCCGCUUACCUCAAUGAGACAGCUAGAUAUGUAUCUUCAACAUAGUUGUCUUGUCUGCCCCCAGAUGCAGGCAGAAGAAGUAAAACAGAGCCUGUGAACACACUGUGUAAGUGAAGUCCAGUCAGAAACCAACAGGGGUGCUGCUGAGAUGGAAUUCCUUUCAUUCAAUGAGGCGAAGGUCUUGGCUCCUGCUCCAGACUCAGUAGAAUAUUGGAGUUCCGGUGUUCCCAGGAUAAAGUGAUUCUUGUUGAGAGCUGCUUAUAGUCUUUGAGGACCAGCCUACUCUCACCAGUCCCAGCUUUCAGGACUUGUGGCUGAAAGACCUACUUCAGCAUCAGUAUUUUUUUUCUAUCUACCUAUCCAUUUCCUCACUCAUUCACCCACUCACUCGACAGCUCAAAUGUAUUGAGUGAGCACAGCCCGACUUCUAGGGGUAUAACCUGCAGGCAUUACCCCUGCCAUCCAGGUGUUCUGUGUAUAGUCAAGGAGAGGAACCAGAUGUGUAAAGGUUAUAGUGUCAUUCAGCAUGUAUCUCUCAUCCAUGAUGGUUCCAGGACUUUCCUCAUAAUGCCAGCCAGCCAAAACUUGAGUAUCUAUCCCUCAAGUCCUAGAAAAACAAGGAUUUCUCCCCUUGCCCCACUUUUUGGGGGGGGGUGCAGAAUUUGUGGAGAUUUAAUUUGCAGCCUACGAACUUAAUGGAAGUACUUUUCUUCUUGAGUGGAAACUAUUAACAAUGCCAAGAGCUGUUAGUGGACGCAGUUUUCUCUGCACGUGUAGCAAAGUGUAAUUCACAUUCUGGUUCCUGAAAUAACUUAUUGGUGACUUAAAUUACAGAUAUGCAUAUUGCAUCAUGCUCGGUGCUAUAAGGACAUUAAGGUAUUUGCUACAUAAUGUUAGGGAGAUAAUACAUUCAUAUGUGAAUUCAAAAAAUAAUGGUGCUAGCCCAGUGGAGGGUAAGUACCCGAGUGCCUAGACUGGCUAAUAAGAUGAGUGGAUGGUAGAGCCUGGAGCUACCUAUGGGAACACAGGAGGAAGUGACAAGUUCUGUCUGGACACAUGGAGUUGGAUAUGUCUUGGAGACAUUGUAAUCAGAGGGCUAGGGGCUCUCUGAAUCUGGGGCUGGGAGGAGUGCUCCAGGCUGUAGAUCUUGAUUUGGGGAUUAGCAUUUGGAGGAUGCAAUGCCAUGGUGGUCAUGGAAGAAUGUGUAGAAAGCAUCCAACAGAAAGCCAAGGACAGGGACCUGAAGAAACCCCAAAUGCAUGAAAUGGACAGAGGGAGACUGAUCAGAGGAGUGAGUGUGAGAUGGUAGAAUGAGGUGGGGGCUGGUCCCCAAACCAAAGAGCAUUUCGAGAACAGAGAGGGUUGUUAACAGUUUUAUGUAUUCAAGAGUGAUCAAAGUGAACAGUGGUUGUUGGAUCCUUGGGGAGAACAGUCUCAAGAGGAAGUCAAGGGCAGAGGUCAGAGUGCACUAGAAAAGAGGGUCAGUGGAGGAGUGGAAAGUGCAGGGAGAUCCUACUUUCAGGACUGUAAGGGCGGCAGAGAGCAUGGGUGAGAGCUUUCACUAUCCCCCCAGCCUCAGCCCAAAGGUGGGGGUUGUUAUUUUCUGUUUACAGAGGAGACUGAGUUCAAAGAAGUAAAAUAACUUGCCCUUUUCUACAUUACUAUUAUAAACAGAAACCGCCCCCCUCCGCCCCAAUAAAAGUUAUUAUUUAAAAAUGUUUCCAAAACAUUUGCAGGAAAGAAAGUGGCAGGGUAGGGAUGCAGAUCCUAAUAUACCUGACUCCAAAAUCAAGGUCUUUGCUAGUCAAAGUGGUGGUUCAGGGGCCAGUAACAUGGGCAUCACCUGGGACCUAGUUAGAAAUGCAGAUUCUCAGAUUGCACCCAGACCAACUCAGACUCUGCAUCUUAACAAGAUCCAGGUGCUACACAUGCACAUGUGAGAAGCAUCACUAGGGCUUUCUGCUAUACCAUGUUUAGUAAUCUAGGUAAGGAGGAUCCAUGAAAGCAAGUUGACAUAAAAGCAAAGAAAUGGGUGGGAGAGACAUGCAACUCCCAUCUUUCCCUGUAGUGGCACAAGACAUCUGCAUGUCCUUAGGUGAGCUCAAGCAUUCAUCUUCACCAUGAAGGGUAGCCACUGGCCGGUAAGGCCUUCCAUUGAGCCUGGGAGGGGCCUCCUUCACCAUAGGAUGAUAGAGCACAUUGGACUCUGGGCAAGCUUUGCUACAUUUUUAAUUAACAGCCAUUUUCUUCGCAUAAUUCAAAUGCAAAGGAAGAAAACAUCUUUUCAGUCACUAACAUAAUUAAGCUGCAUAGAUUAGCUUGAUCUUUGCUGCUUCUCCAAAGCUCUGCAAGGGAAGAUAACUCAUGUACAUGGAGAUUUGCUCAGAUGUUUUUGCUUCUCGAGGAUUCGGUAACUGCCUACCUGUGAUGUUUUUUAAUUACAGUAACCACCUCUUUGACUACUUGUUUUUGAAUGAGUGCUGCCUUCAAGGUUCUCUUUGGUCCCUCCUCAUCUGUACCUAAAACAACCAGACCACAUGCCAAAUGCCAAGAGAAUCUAAACCCAUGUUUUCUUCUUUCUGUGGGCACACUUUCUUUUUCUCACCUUUGCUUUCUGUUUCUUGAAAGUUAUAUAGAGUUUUCUUGAGUUGAUCAUAAAAUGAAUUAGGUGAAUCUUAACCCACAUUUUACAAAAAUAUACAAAAUGAAAUAGAAAAUAUCAAAGUGCCUCAUGUGUAAUAGGGGCAACAAUUGUUUGUGAAACUUCUGUUUUCGUUAUGUAAAUGUGCAUAUCCCCAGUUUCUGUGCAAAGAUGAUUUCCAUACUGUGAGUUAUGGUUGAAAGGUAUGAGAGCCACUGAUCCAUUUCAGUGGUUCCCUAUUUAGAGAAUCACUGAAACAUAGAAUGUUUUUUAAAUUACCCGUUUCCAGGCCUGUUUCCACCCAUUGGUUUCAGGAAUCUGUAUUUGAAAGCAUUUUUAGAAAUUGCAACCAUCAACAAUAUUUUAGAUCUGCUGGCCUGGUUCAAACUCCCACCCCAAGGAGGAUUCCCAUUAAUAUUAUUUCUGCAGGUGACUCCCAAACCUCUGGGUGCCAGUACUCUCUCCCUUUUCACACCAAUCAUAUGUAUGAGGGUCUCCGUUUGGGAGCACACCUCCCCACAGAAUAGCACGCAGCCCAGGCCUUGUGGGACUCGGCUUCUCAUAAGAAGCGUCUCCUGGAAGCGGACCCAGAGCCUGCUUGUGCACAGCCUUCACCCUUGCCGGCUCUGGUCACUCCCCUGGAGCUCUACAGAGCACAUCUGACAGCCCUUGAGAGACGAAAGAGCAGCUUUUAUUUUCUUCUACAGCUUCUUUCUCUCAAACGAAGCGGUUCUAGGGUCUUAAAGCGUCCUUUGUGGGUUAUGGUGGCAACUCUGUCCCUCAUCCAGCUUUAGUAUCUCUGAACUACUCUUUUGUUGAAAGGAGAACACAGUUCACUGAACACAGUGUAAACAGCGCUGUGAGCCAGGAGUUCCACUGCUCUUAGAACCAGUGACAUGACCCUGGGCAAGCCAUCUCGUCUCUCCAGUCCUGGGUUUCUUGCUUGUCUAGUGAGGCUGCUUGAUUAAAUGACCCACUUUCUAAAGUUCUGGUUUUAGCCUGCACUGGGAAGAACUGGGAGGAGAGCAUGUGGCUCUCAACAACAAAUAUGAUGCUCAUUUCACAUUGAAGUUGACGAGCCAUAAUCUGAUUAGAAAUCUUUUGAGAGUCCGUACAGUCUCUCAUUGAUGCUGAAUGAAUUGUGUGUUGCUUUUAUUGGCUUGGCAUAUAUGGAAAGGAAUGAAUACCAUACAUUUCUCUCCAGAAGCACCCAGCUCUUGGGGAUUAUACAUGUAUACCCAACAGAGAACCCUUUCUUGGGCUUCCUGCCUCAAAUUUCUAUUUUCCCUUAUUAUCAGCCCCUGAAAAAGUAUCCUUUUGCUAGAAUUUGCCAUAAUGUGCUUUAGACUGAAGAGAUUAUUGUCUUUCCCUUGCCCCAAAGUUUUGGGCAAAAUAAUUUAAAGUACCGGAGGAGUUGGGCUGCUUGUCCUUUCAGCCUAGUGAGAGUCUUCAUUUUUUUGUUUUGUUUUGUUUUAAAAAUAAUUAUAUUAAAAAAAAAAAUGUCCAGCCAGAGCAUCUGUUGUUGUUGGCCUCUAAGCACAUCUUAGGGAUCCAUGGCAUGAAUUUGCAAGAAGGAAGGUUUUAAAUAUUAAUAAGACUGGGAAUUGGCUCUUUUGUAUGAGCAUUUUAGAAUUCACUAAAGCACCAGUGAACCCUGAAAAACUUGGCUGCUUGUCAUUAGAGAGUGAGGUUCCCAGGGGGCCUUUCUAGGAGCAAGUACUUGCCACCUGAAGAGUGAACAAAGGACAAAUGAAAGGCAUUUGAGCCUCUUAGGGAUGGAUAUAGACUUUCAAGCCUCCCUGAAGUUUUACCAAACCCAUAUAAUCUUUUCUGAGUUUGCAGAUUAGCAAGUGGUGGCUUUGUUUUGAUGUGACUCAGUUAUGUCUAACCUUGGUCUCAAUAGGAAGUGGCAAGAGAUAUGAGUGGACUACAGAAAUCUGCGAGCACCCAGAGGGAAUGGCCACCACACCCCACCCGCCAUGGUAACUUCUAUAGCAUCUAAACCCCCUUAAAACAGAAUUGUCAUCAGCUAGGAAGAAGCAGGGACAAUUUCUGAAUUUGUCUGAGGGAGCUUACCACUUACAGUGAAGAGGGUAGAAUUUGGAAGGCCUAGUUCUGGGACUUAUGUGAGAGGACAUGGUUAUGUUGAGAAGAAGCUCUACGGAUGCCAAGGACCAACGUGGGAUCAGGUGGUUUUUGUGUUGGUCUUGGCUAUCGAUACUUAUUUUUUCUUUAAAGUUGUCUAGGGUGUAGAGUUCUUAGGACAAGAGAGAGCAAUAGAUUCCUUUGUAUUGAAGAAAUUUCCUACUUUAGAAAGGUAAGUCUGGAGGAAUAUUGUUUUGUUUGGGCAAUUUUCACACCGUAUCACACUGAGGAUUUUUUUAGCCAAAUAGAGAAUCUUAGAUGCUCUAUUCUUUUAAAGAAGCAUAAUAUCCAAACACAGUAAAGCCUCAUUAAAAACUGUCUGUUAUUCAUAAAUUGACUUAAUAUUACAGAAAAAUUUCACAUGCUAGAUGUAAAAGGGGUAGGUGGUGCAUUUCCUUCUCUAUCAUGAGUGGAAAGUUUCUGAGGGCUUUAGAUUUAUCUCUGAAUGUCUAGUCUCUAACAGGGCUUUACUCUUAACUUUUUCAAAAUUAUAACUCAUUUAUUUUUAGUUAAACUUUGAUCUUUGUAUCAGUGAUUAUCAACAACACUUUUGAGGUUAAGUCUCUACUAUUCAACUAACAUUUUUCAAGGACUGUGGAAGAAAAUAUGACCAGAAUCGAGAAGCACUGAGACUUGUUUAAGGGUCAAGGUCAAGGUAACUGUUAUUGUUGAUGUUAUUAAGGCUUAUGCUUGCAAAACUCAGACUUGGAUGACAAUCAUAAAAGACCACGUAGGAUUAAAGACCAGCAAAGGGCUCAGACAAUAAAUGCAAUUGGAGGAGGGAAAAAUCACAUAUAAAUCAUUUUAAGGUUUCUAUAGUUCCUUUAAAACCAGAUGAUUCAAAUUCAGCUCAAAUCCCUGAAGCUUUCAUGGCAAUGUAUAGUAAACCAAUCUGUCCACCAGCUGGAAAGUCACGGCACUUGUAGGGAUCAUUUUCCAUGGACCAGGCUUAUUGCCAGCUCGAGUCUUUCGUGGUAGGCAGGGGAAACUGGGGGGAGAGGUGAGCAUAGGAGGGUGGCAGGGGCUGAGGUUGACAAGUGGGGAGGAGAGGAGAAGCCAAGACCUCAGAGCCUGGCCACGAGCUCAUCUGUGUUUUGCAGACUGUCAUACAAAACAUCUUGGAGGUUGGAAGUUUUCACAACUCAUUUUACGGCUCAAGUUAUGUUCCCUUUUCUUGUCAAUCAUUGUCUUCAAGGGGUUUCCCAUUUAAAUGAGAAUAUGGUGGGGGAGGCAGAGCUGAAAAGCUGAACAACAAGGCAAGAUGUAUGAUAUGAACACACACACACCCCCACCCCACCCACCAGAGGAAGUACUUCAGAAUACAUAGUGUUCUGUUUGGAUGGUGGAGUUUUGAAUAAUCUUUCUUUCAUUCCGGUUCAAUUUGCCAGAUUUUCUUUAAUAAUCUUGUAUAGUGUUUAUGAUGAAAAGAAUAUUCAAGAGAUGUCACAACAGAUGAAAACAAACGCCAGGGGAGGUGACAUGGACAGUGUGUGGACCAAGGAUACUGGGAGGCAGCUGUGCGUGGGACGUGCAGGCUGGGCAGAAAGUGUGGAGGCCAGAGAGCAGAGCUGUUCCAGCGGCAUGGAGGUGCCCACCCGGGCAGAACUGCAGGAUAUGGCAGUGCCCAGAGUGUCACAGUUGGGCUGGACAGACACCCAAAGAGCGUGUCGGAACAGUUAGGCCUGGAGCCAGCCCAUUUUGGCUUGAUAAGGCAGUUUAUGUAAAUCAAGGUUGUUACACGGAAACAGCUGGUUUCACUUUAGUUUAAUGGAAAACAAGAGGACAUCAAGGUGGGGAGACAAGAGGGGAGGUGGGUGGACAGAGAGAGGAUGAGUUGGGCUCGUGGGAUGAGGCGGUGCAGGCAGGCAGCCUGACCAGGGAGUGAAGGCAGGUGGACAGGUGUCAGCAUCAGUUUAGCUGAGAGGACCAGGUUGGGGGCAGGCUGAGCCGGAUCCUUCAGGCCUGGCUUGGCCUGAGAGAUCCCCUUCCUUUCCAAAGCUCGUGAUCUGCACAUUACAUGGCCAUGGAGACCACAGGAAAGUCCGUGUUUGUGAAGGUGUUUGCCUCCGCCCUCCUGUCUCGCUUGAUUUGAUACUUUUCCACUGAAGUGUGUAUGGAUGCCCCAUUUCUGGCUUAAAAUGGGGGGCUCUUCCUCUGGGGAGCCCAUGCCUCUCCUUCUGUCCCUGUUUCCUGGGUGCAGGCACAGUGGACCCAGCCAGUGCAGAUACAACGCUGCCAUGUUAAUCUCCUGCAGCCCUGAGGCUGCCAGGACAAGAACUAGUAGUUCCCCUGGAAGGAGGAGUUACAGACCACCACCAGGCUACAGCCCUUCUGUGAGACCUUUGAGGGGAGAUCUAGGGUUGUCUUCAUUCUGAUAUCUUCUCCUGGAGUGAUGUCCACUGGCUUACAGAAAGCACUCGACAUGUAUUUAUUGCCUGGGGAAUGAGUUAAUUUGCAUAUAUAAUAAAGGGAGCAGUUAACUGAUGUCUGUAUUGUUUUGAUAUUUGGUUUGGUAGUUGGCAUAGAAUUAUCAUAAAAUAUUUAUCCAUCUAUGCCCUUACAUGGAGGAAAUGACUAAGAUUCAAAUGAGAUUAGAGGUGGGCAGGUGCUCUGAGAUCUUUAAAAGAAACUCUUUCUACAUCGGGGACUUCUUCCUCUUUGGGACUUGAUUUUCUUCAGGGUACCCCAUGGUGUGAAUGCGGUUGCUAAUGAGCUGAUGUUCCUUUGGGAGGUCAAACUGAAGAUCUGGGGUGGAGAUGGCAUGAGUGUCUCUCUGUUGACAUCAGUUUGAGGUUGUGUCUGAUCCUGGGGGAUUGCUGUGGCCUGAAUAAUAAAAAUCCAUGGAAUUGCUUCAGGACACAGACCAGUUACGACCUACUGCAAAGCUGCUGUCCCUGAGGAACCCUCGCAGCAGUGUGAAUUGCUUUUCCUGUACUUUGCAUUGUCCAGCUUUCAGGCUGGAGGUGAGUAGACUGGGCAAUAAGAGAAAGAGUCUCAUCUGUCAGUUCCCUUGCCCUGCAGCUUCUCUGCACCUGCUUACUGCUUUGUGUUGUUUGAUAUAUUGACCUCUCUCUCUACCCAGUAUAGCUCCUUCCUAGGGUAGCUGUAUUAAUAUACUGGCCCCAUGGAAUGGCAAAAAUUCCUCCAGACAUACAGUUUUCUCAUCUGAUGUUCACAACAGCCCAGAGAUAAGCAGGGCAAGUACAAUUAUCUCUCUUUUAUGGCUGAGGCUUGUGAAGCACUUUAUUUAUUUAUUUUUCCUGUUCUUGAGUUGGUUAGUGGUAGAACCGCUCACCAGCCCAUAUAUCUAGGUCUGAAAUUACCAUAUGCUCUCUGAUCCUGGAUUCUUAUUUCCGUCCCUCAGAGCAUCUGGUAGAGCUCAAGCUCCAUAAAAACCUGUCAAAUCAUGAUUUUAAGAAUCCCUGUUAGCUUUCCUAUUAUAUUUAGUGUGAUUCAGUGGAAAAGAGCUGGGUCCCCAAAUUCUUUGUAUUGGCUGAGCUACUAGCUGACCAUGAACCUUUCUGAAGCCAAGGCCCCUCAGACCCUUAAGGGGCAUAGCAUCUAGAGAGGAAAAUAGGAUGCUUCAGCCCCCCACCCCCAGGGGGUUAACUGCCCUCCCUGUACCUCAUUUUUAAUUGCCCCUCUUAUGUCUGGACACCCUGCCACCAACCCCCUUCUCAUCAACCAUCUUCGUUAAACCCCUUCCUCCUGGUCUGCCCUCACCCCAAGCCCAUGUGGCUGGUCUCUGCCUGACAGCUGGCUGCCCAGGGUGACUCCAGCUCAUAUCCGUGCUUCCCACCAGGCCACAGCCGCUCUUUAAUAGAGACAUGCAGGCUGAUCCUCCUGCUUAUGUCGCUAAGCAGCUGACUUUUGGUUGCCUGGAGAUUAUCAUGGAGCCAAGACCGCACAGUGGAAAUGUGUGUCUCAUUCUGCGCUAGGAUGUUCUUGGGCACCUAAGAAACACCAAUCGUUUCUUUUGCAACUCUGAUUUUACAUUAAAUCUCUGGAACUUUAGGCUACAUCCUUCACAUGUUAGUUAUGAAAAUAAUAAGCACACAAAAGAUCAUGUUCUGAUAUCCCGGGUUUAUAGGGAUUGGCAAUUCUUUAGGAUGCUAGAGGUGGGAAAGUACCACACACCUUCUGUAAAGCAGGAUAAAGAGAAGGAACAUACCUUGAGCCUUUGUGCUUAUAAUAGAGGGGUGGGGGGGACGGUGUUUUUGAACUUUCCCCUUUAUUUGUAUGGGGAGCAAUAAUUGGAAGAGUAGGCCUUGCUGAGAGGAGACCAUUUCAGAAAGUCCCUGGGGGAGAGACUUUGGCACUAAAGUUUUUUUAGGAAACGCAGAGAUUAUAGGUGCCUGGAUCCCUGGACUGAUGGUAUGACACAGUUUACCUCUUCUUGAGUUUUUUUUCAGUGUUCAGAUUCAGAGAUAGGAGUGCUGGAUGAAUUGGGAGGAUUUAACGUGUAGUGUUACUCUUGCCUGGGGUCACACAGAGUCGGACACUAGUGAAGUGAUUUAGCAGCAGCAGCAGCAACCUGUAGUGUGUGCACGUGCCCAGAAAAGUGGCCAGGAGGAGCCACUGAGAGCCCUCCACCCCACCCCGGGCUUACAGCAUGGCGUCUCUGGAGGUCUGGGGAGAAGAUGCCAUGGGGGACCAGGGGUCGGUAGGAUCUAUGACUCUGGCCUGCAAUUAGUCAUUUUUGACACUGUCCUUGGAGGUAGAGCAGCUGAAGCCCAGAGCCGCCUCCAGCUUUGUUUUGCUUUGAGCUGCACUGGGCCUUCAUUGCUCCUGUGGCUUUUCUGUAGUUGUGACGAGCAGGGGCUACUCGUUGGUUGUGGUGCUCAGGCUUCUCACUGCAGUGGCU